rnacentral:rRNA from 1 species
GGAUAUUUAGCCUGGAUCUAGAUGAACUCUGGCAUCUCGCCUAACACCUGCAAAUAGAACGCUAUAGCUACAGAGUUUGCUGGCUUGAUAGGCGGUGUGUAAUCUGCCCUCGAACGUAUUCACCUGUACUUGACUACCGCUAAUUCCUACCUAUUCCAGCUGCUGGGGAGGCGUUUUCAAACCCAUUUCUCACUUGAGGAUGAAGUUGCGAGACUUCCUUGAACUUGCGAGCUUGUGGCUCACUGUUUUUACCACUGGUAGGGGGCCUGAGAGGCUGGCCCCCCAGGCUGGGACUGAUACACGGCUUCCACUCCUUCCCCACGUGUAAAAGAGGAAUAUUGCACAAUGAAAACUAGCCUGAUGCCGCGAGUUGCCCUCGAUGACCAACGUUUUCGGACUGCUCAUCCUUUUCUGUGUGAACAGAGUGGACGGACCUGUACUAAUAUCCUUCCGGAUACUACAUUGUUUCCAAAAGCGUAAAAACGUAGGAGGCAAGCCCUAUCCGAAGUUACUGGUUUUGUCUCGCAUUGUACCGGGUUGGCAGUUACUGUGCAGAUCCCCUGGCUAAACUGUGAGAGGUGGAGUGAUACUGCCACUCUUGACUAGGGGAGAGUAUGACGUUAUCCUGCGAGUCUUGGUGAGAUGCAUAGAUAUGCGGAGAACAUCAACGGCUAAGACUACACACUGGUCUCAUCUUGAUCCCUACACCCGCAUGCAUGCCUCGCGGACAGGAUUAACACACCCCGCUGUCCAUGCAUAGGUAUGCACACUGUAUGAACGCAUUUCCAUGCGACACUGACUGUUUGAGCUUCCUGAUUAA